rnacentral:rRNA from 1 species
AGUAGCCGCGGGAAUACAGAGGGUGCGAGCGUUAAUCGGAUUUACUGGGCGUAAAGCGUGCGUAGGCGGCUUCUUAAGUCGGAUGUGAAAUCCCUGAGCUUAACUUAGGAAUUGCAUUCGAUACUGGGAAGCUAGAGUAUGGGAGAGGAUGGUAGAAUUCCAGGUGUAGCGGUGAAAUGCGUAGAGAUCUGGAGGAAUACCGAUGGCGAAGGCAGCCAUCUGGCCUAAUACUGACGCUGAGGUACGAAAGCAUGGGGAGCAAACAGGAUUAGAUACCCCAGUAGUCCCUGUCUCUUAUACA